ACAGCUCACUGAUGGUAAGAUCUUGGAAAGAGGAAGGUAAGAGAAGGCUGGGCUCCUCUCCAUCGCACGCAUGCGCGAUGCUCUGCUUUUAUCUGGAGGGCAGCGAUGGAGCUUCCGAGAAAGGAAGAAGCUCUUGUGUGCAUGCAUGGUGCUGGAAGCAGUGCAGCCGAGAAGAGCGCGCGCGCGGGCGGUCGCGACCGGACGAAGAGAUCAGACUCCUGGGAACACGUGAAUACUAACUCGUGGGCGGCCCACGGUGGGCCCGAUAUUCCAGUCCACAAACGAAUCGGGCUGAAGAUUGCUACUACUCCUCCGAGCACACACUCGACUGUGUAAGAGCUUUUCUGGCCGCGCGUGUGUGUGUGUGUGUCAGAAGGAUGAAUGACGUGCAGUUUGUGGCACAGUUGUAGGCUUUUAUCGUGCAUCUUUCUGUAACUGUGACGUGCUGAUAAUUCGCAAUGUCUGUGCCUUUGAACUUGAGCUCUCAUUUUAAGGACCGCACUCAGAAACUGGUUUCAUUUGGUGACGUAGAUGUUUGUACCGUGUCUAGCACCACAUGAAAUUAGGGUUCUGGGAGGUGGACUCACACCAUUUUCUCAAUGUCCAGCUGUUGUGAAAUGCGCUAUAUCAAUGAAGUUGUAUGUAUUGUAUUUGUGGGCCGCUCGGGUGGUAAAAGUGCGCGGUGGCGAUUCAGUGCCUCACCAGAUCCAGCAGAUGGCGCUGUUUCAUAUUCAUGCGGAGGAGCGGGUCAAAUGCAAAACUCGAUGUGAAUAAAGUUGUCUUAAUCCUAAACGGU